CCAAAGGGAUCCCCUAGUAACGGCGAGUGAAGCGGGAAGAGCUCAAGCUUAAAAUCUCCGUGCAAGUUUUGCGCGGCGAAUUGUAGUCUAUAGAGGCGUGGUCAGCGUGGGCGCUUGGGGCAAGUUCCUUGGAAGAGGACAGCAUGGAGGGUGAUACUCCCGUUCAUCCCUGAGUGGCUCGUGCGUACGACCCGUGUUCUUUGAGUCGCGUUGUUUGGGAAUGCAGCGCAAAGUAGGUGGUAAAUUCCAUCUAAAGCUAAAUAUUGGUGCGAGACCGAUAGCGAACAAGUACCGUGAGGGAAAGAUGAAAAGAACUUUGAAAAGAGAGUUAAAGAGUACCUGAAACUGCUGAAAGGGAACCGAAUCGUUUCCAGUGUCUAUAAUCCGUGGCAUAUUUCAUUGGCGAGUGUGCGCGUGCGUGUGCUGUGGCAGUGGCUUUUUUGGCUGCGCUCGGUGUGUGUGCUGUGUGUGCUUGCUGGUGCCCUGUGCUGCGGUGGGACGUCAAGGUCAGUUCGUAUGCUGCGGGAAAUGGCUGCCGAGGAGGUAGGGCUUACGCUCCGCGUUUGUCUGUUAUAUCUUGGUGGACGAGUCGUCGCGGUUGGGACUGAGGUGCCUACAACGUGCUUUUGAGUGGGUUUGUGUCUCCGUGUGCGCCGUGUGCGGAUAGCUUGCUAUGCGUGUGUGGUUGUGUGUGGAUUGAUGCGGGCUUUAACUUGUCGCCGUUCGGGACGUUGACGAAAUGGAGCGAUCCGACCGC
rnacentral:rRNA from 1 species